rnacentral:lncRNA from 1 species
GAUGCCCCUCAAGAUGGCUGUGCCUGUCAGCUGCAUGGAGCUUCGUUCAAGUAUUUUCUGAGCCUGAUGGAUUUACAGUGAUCUUCAGUGGUCUGGGGAAUAACGCUGGUGGAACCAUGCACUGGAAUGACACACGCCCGGCACAUUUCAGGAUACUAAAAGUGGUUUUAAGGGAGGCUGUGGCUGAAUGCCUCAUGGAUUCUUACAGCUUGGAUGUCCAUGGGGGACGAAGGACUGCAGCUGGCUGAGAGGGUUGAGAUCUCUGUUUACUUAGAUCUCUGCCAACUUCCUUUGGGUCUCCCUAUGGAAUGUAAGACCCCGACUCUUCCUGGUGAAGCAUCUGAUGCACGUUCCAUCCGGCGCUCAGCUGGGCUUGAGGACUUCGCAGGUGAGCAGUAACGGAAAUCAGCCCCGUUUAUUCCUCCCAGCACCUGCCUUAUCCAACUCCCCACGCUGUGGCUGAGUCCCAGCCUGCUAUGGAAGCAUCACUGGACUCCCAUUGAACUCUGUGCAGAUUCGCUGUUCGUAGACAUGGUACCUGAUGGACACCAAGCUACGUACAGCUUCAAGGCCCCUUCUUUCUUUGCUAAUAAAAAAUAAAAAAUAAAA